GCCUAAUACAUGCAAGUAGAACGCUGAAGAGAGGAGCUUGCUCUUCUUGGAUGAGUUGCGAACGGGUGAGUAACGCGUAGGUAACCUGCCUUGUAGCGGGGGAUAACUAUUGGAAACGAUAGCUAAUACCGCAUAACAAUGGAUGACACAUGUCAUUUAUUUGAAAGGGGCAAAUGCUCCACUACAAGAUGGACCUGCGUUGUAUUAGCUAGUAGGUGAGGUAACGGCUCACCUAGGCGACGAUACAUAGCCGACCUGAGAGGGUGAUCGGCCACACUGGGACUGAGACACGGCCCAGACUCCUACGGGAGGCAGCAGUAGGGAAUCUUCGGCAAUGGGGGCAACCCUGACCGAGCAACGCCGCGUGAGUGAAGAAGGUUUUCGGAUCGUAAAGCUCUGUUGUAAGUCAAGAACGAGUGUGAGAGUGGAAAGUUCACACUGUGACGGUAGCUUACCAGAAAGGGACGGCUAACUACGUGCCAGCAGCCGCGGUAAUACGUAGGUCCCGAGCGUUGUCCGGAUUUAUCGGGCGUAAAGCGAGCGCAGGCGGUUUGAUAAGUCUGAAGUUAAAGGCUGUGGCUCAACCAUAGUUCGCUUUGGAAACUGUCAAACUUGAGUGCAGAAGGGGAGAGUGGAAUUCCAUGUGUAGCGGUGAAAUGCGUAGAUAUAUGGAGGAACACCGGUGGCGAAAGCGGCUCUCUGGUCUGUAACUGACGCUGAGGCUCGAAAGCGUGGGGAGCGAACAGGAUUAGAUACCCUGGUAGCCCACGCCGUAAACGAUGAGUGCUAGGUGUUGGAUCCUUUCCGGGAUUCAGUGCCGCAGCUAACGCAUUAAGCACUCCGCCUGGGGAGUACGACCGCAAGGUUGAAACUCAAAGGAAUUGACGGGGGCCCGCACAAGCGGUGGAGCAUGUGGUUUAAUUCGAAGCAACGCGAAGAACCUUACCAGGUCUUGACAUCCCGAUGCUAUUUCUAGAGAUAGAAAGUUACUUCGGUACAUCGGUGACAGGUGGUGCAUGGUUGUCGUCAGCUCGUGUCGUGAGAUGUUGGGUUAAGUCCCGCAACGAGCGCAACCCCUAUUGUUAGUUGCCAUCAUUCAGUUGGGCACUCUAGCGAGACUGCCGGUAAUAAACCGGAGGAAGGUGGGGAUGACGUCAAAUCAUCAUGCCCCUUAUGGCCUGGGCUACACACGUGCUACAAUGGUUGGUACAACGAGUUGCGAGUCGGUGACGGCAAGCUAAUCUCUUAAAGCCAAUCUCAGUUCGGAUUGUAGGCUGCAACUCGCCUACAUGAAGUCGGAAUCGCUAGUAAUCGCGGAUCAGCACGCCGCGGUGAAUACGUUCCCGGGCCUUGUACACACCGCCCGUCACACCACGAGAGUUUGUAACACCCGAAGUCGGUGAGGUAACCUUUUGGAGCCAGCCGCCUAAGGUGGGAUAGAUGAUUGGGGUGAAGUCA
rnacentral:rRNA from 1 species